rnacentral:lncRNA from 10 species
CGCCUGUAGUCCCAGCUACUCAGGAGGCUGAGACAGAAUUGCUUGGACGUGGGAGACAGAGGUUGCAGUGAGCAAAGAUCAUUCCACGGCACUCUAGCCUGGCGACAGAGAGAGACAUUGUCUCAAAAAAAAAAAUUAUUUCCUUGUAGAUGAUACGACAUUCUAUAUAGAAAAUCACUGGCUGGGUGCGGUGGCUCACACCUGUAAUCCCAGAACUUUGGGAUGCUGAUGGGGGCGGAUCACCUGAAGUCAGGAGUUCAAGAAAAACCUGGUCAACAUGGUGAAACCCCGUCUCUACUAAAAAUACAAAAAAAUUAUACGGACAUGGUGGCAGGCACCUGUAAUCUCAGUUAGUAGGCAGGAGAAUCACUUAAACCCGAAAGGCAGAGGCUGCAGUGAGCCAAGAUCGUGCCAUUGUACUCCAGUCCAAGUGACAAGAGUGAGACUCCUUCUCAAAAAAAAAG